AGUAAAAUUUGAUCUUUGUUUUUUUAUUUAUCUUUAAAUUUAUUAUGCAUGUAAAUUUUUGUUAGUUAUUUUAUUCUUAAUGAUUUUAUCUUUAUUUUCAGUAUUUAAUUUUUUUUUAUCUGUGUUUUGAUUAAAGUUAUAUUUUUAAGAACUGAAAAAUGUUGUGCCAGCAUUUGCGGUUAUACAUCAGGUUCAAGAUAUUUUUUUUUAGAAUUUAGUUUUAUAAUAAUUUUUAUUAUUUUUAUUUAGGUGAAAUUUAUAUUUAUAAAAUUUUGUUUUACUGAAAAAAUUUGGGUAUAAACCAGGAUUAGAUACCCUGUUAUUCAAAUAUAAGUUAUGUUUCUAGGGGAGUAAAUUUUUUUAAUUGAAAUUUAAUAGAUCUGGCGGUUUUUAAAUCUUUUUAGAGGAACCUGUAAUUUAAAUGAUAGUCCACGAUUUUUUCUACCAUCAAUAUCUUGUAUAUCGCUGUCGUUGAAUGUAAUGAAAAUUUAUUUUCUUUUUCUUUUGUUGGAUUUAUGUUAGGUCAAGAUGCAGUUAUUUGGUGGUUAUUAUGGGUUACUUUUAUUUUUGUUUAUUGGAUUUUAAAUAUUUGGUUUACUUGAAUUUGGAUUUAAAAGUAAUUUUUUUAAAAUUGAUUAUUUGAAUUUUGCUCUUAAUUAUGUACAUAUCGCCCGUCACUCUCAUAAAUUGAGAUAAGUCGUAACAAAGUAGAUGUACUGGAAAGUGUAUCUAGAAA
rnacentral:ncRNA from 1 species